rnacentral:lncRNA from 1 species
UUAGAUUGAAAAAUAAAUGCGAUAUUAAAGGGACGUUCAGAUUUUUUUCUUAAUUUUAAUUUUGGUAUUUGGUGACCCUAAAUUGUAUUCCAACUUGAUUAUAUAUGAAAAAGGUUGAUUAUUCAAUGAAUGGCAUUAUUGUAUUCAAUGAAUGGCAUUAUUGUAAAGUUGCUUUGAACUUUUGGGUUAAAGUGAGUAUAUCCCGACUCCGAUACCCUUUUUUGACAGCUUCCUGCUGGGAAUUUAGUGAAACUCAAGAUAUUUUGAGCUUUGAUUCUCUUCUGUAU